rnacentral:lncRNA from 1 species
GGCUUUCUCCGGAGAAAUGAGGGUGAUGAACCUAAGACACAAACAGAGCCAAGAUCGACUUUCUUAGGAAGGGGGAGAGGAGGGAACUCUUCACGAAGGGAGGUGGGAGUCCACCUCAGACCUCUAUUGGAAGGAAAUCGAGUUGUUCCGGGAGACUGAGAUCUCUUGCAUAAGGCAUGGGAUCCUUAUUAUUUAAAAAAAAAAAAAAAAAAAAAAAAACCCGCGGAGGAGCUCUUGGCAAAUGAAUAUCGAGGCGCCGCUCUAGCUGGUUAGGCUUGGGAUGCGAUAACUGAGUGCCCUCCUGCAGACUUGCAUAGAAAUAAUUACUGGGUUGUCGUGGAGGGGACACGAGACAGAGGGAGUUCUCCGUAAAUGUGUCUUGCUGAGAGAAAGGUCCAAGAAUGCAAUUCGUCCCACAGUGGCCCGGCAGGGGCGGGGUGCGAGUGGGUGGUGGAGUAGGGGUGGGAGUGGAGAGAGGUCAUUUCUGUAGAGAAUAAUUAUAGCACCAGGGCCCGCCGAGGCACGAGGCACUCUAUUUUGUUUUGUAAUCACGACGACUAUUAUUUUUAGUCCGAUCAAUGAGCAUAAUUUCUAUGUAGUCCAGCGGUGGAUGCGCGCAAACUUCUGCGCACCGCUGGAAACCCACUAGAUUCAGUUGCAGAACGUACCGCGUAGACGCCCCUGGUGGCGCUGAGAGAAGAGCUAGGCCUGCCCAGCACAGAGCCGGAGAGCGUCGGGCCUUCCGGAAGGUUCGAUGAGAUGAGUUCCUAUUUGACCUCUGAGCCGAGGCGGGCCGGAAGCCGAGGCCUAGGCCCCGCCGGGGCUGCAAGGGAAAGGCGAAACUCCGAGCGUAGCGACUUUUCCAUGUGAUUCCUUUCUCUGGCAUCCCGGACCGCGGGCCUUGCAGCCACCUGGACCGGCAUUCAAAGGUUUCUACAAGUCCAGCUUCACAGACUGGCUCUCCCAGACGCUCCGGAGCCCGCACCACGAACAGAAUAAAGGAGAGACGAGAGAUCGCAACUAGGAACACAGUAUGUCUCUUCCCAAUGUUUUAUUCGGUUGCUGGUUUCCCCACUUCUGACCGGAGGUAUGCGGGAAGAACACUGGCUGUUAUUAUUAUGAUUAUUGAGUAUCCAAUACUCUCCUCCAAUAUUUCCACCAAGAAUUAUUAUUGCUACUCUCCUCAUUCAUGUUAGUGUUGCUUCGUGUGCUUUAGAUAAUAAUUGUCCUCGUUACUCUCCAAGUUUUUUGUUGUUGUUGUCGCUGUUGGGUUUUGCUUUGUUUUUGCUUUUUGUUUUUCCUGUUCAGGGUAAUGAAAUGAGAACUGGAAGAGGCGAUAUCAUUUCGAGGCCCAGCUGAGAAGGAUCCCAAUGCUAAAAAUGUACACACUUCGAAGAGCAGAAAGGUGGAAGCGAGUGGUGCUUGGACACAAGGAUGCCACUGUCCUAUCUCCUCCAAUUUGGGAAGUGACCAGCCUAGAAAGGUGAGGGUCCCAGCUGGGAGACCAUGGAGUCCCUCCAGGGUCACACUGAGCCUGAGAACUCCAACCAUCCUGCAGGUCAAAACCCACUGAUAGGUCUCCCAAAAUGUUUGGGGUAGGGGAAGAAACAGACGGCAUUCCAGGUCUGUAACCCUGUA